UUUCAUUCAGAUGAGUGUUCGAUGAACGCAAAGGACUAAGGACUUAGACCUUGUUCCAGUUUCGAUCCUGAAAGAGAACAUCCAAAAAGUGUACUCCUUCUUAAUGCUAUUGUUGGCAAAAUGUUUUAUAUGGAUUGUACAUAUGACAUUUCAAUGAUCCAAAUUGUCACCUGACCAUCCUGGAGUGCUCGAAAGUAUGCCUCUUGGAGGCAGCAAAUGCCGAUGGCUGAGGGCUCCCGCACAGCAUUUGAGCUGUGGCCAGCUCUUGAUCAUAAGGGAAAGCAGUCAGUCAUCUCGGCAAUUGCUGUAGAUGAUGCGGCACGCUACAUCUACCUGGGUACCAGUGAUGGGCAGCUCUCAGAACACAGGAUCCAGAGCACUUCAUCAGGAGUGCGGGUGUCCCUUGGAGCACGGAAGCAUGUUGGAAAG
rnacentral:lncRNA from 1 species